rnacentral:rRNA from 1 species
UACGUAGGGUCCAAGCAUUAUCCGGAUUGACUGGGUGUAAAGAGUUGCGUAGGUGGUGUCCUAAGUAGGUAGUGAAAUCUGGUGGCUCAACCAUUCAGACUGUUGCCUAAACUGGGACGCUCGAGAGCGUUAGGGGUAGCUGGAAUUUCUAGUGUAGGAGUGAAAUCCGUAGAUAUUAGAAAGAACACCGAUAGCGUAGGCAGGCUACUGGGACGUUUCUGACACUAAGGCACGAAAGCGUAGGGAGCAA